rnacentral:lncRNA from 1 species
AAUAUCAAGUAACCGUUGAAAAUGUGUUCGAUGUGUAAUAGCAAAUAAUUCUAAAUGUUGGUUUUAUCAACACUAUCCAGCUUGUCUUUUCCAGAGUAAUUAGCUGAAACAGUUUGAAUUUUCAGCUUGCACUUAUGAGAACAGGAGUUUAGUUUGUGUUCAAAGAGAAGACACAUAUUGUCUGCAUUUUGUUUCUUGUAUGAGGUGGUACGUAAUCAGCUCAGGCGUUGCCUUACUGCAUCAAAAAGGUCAGCCCAAUCAAGACCACUUAACCUAGAUUUUUGGACUGCUUGGUGGCUCCAAUUUAUUUCUCUGUUUGCCAUGAUAUAGGAUAAGUCCCAUGUAUGAAUUCAAUAAUGUUAUCAUUGAUUUCUUUUCAACAACAUUUCGGUGUACCUCUACAAACAGAGCUAAUUUGAAGGAUAAAUGAGAUGUUCUUUUUUAUCUUUGGGAUGGCAGCUAUGCGAAGAUUAUUAUGCAGGAGGUCAGCAAUCAAUGGCAGUGUAGAGUGUCGAACUUGACAAUUCCAGAUGACUUGUCACAGCUUCACAAUACCUUCAUCACCUGGGAAAGGCGUGUCUUUUUGUUUCCAUUGCCUGCUCCUCCACACUUCCAACUCUUUUGUCAGUAAGACUACAGCAAGGACAUUUGGCUUCUAUGGCCCCCAAUAGCUUCUGCUUCCUGCAAACUCCAAAGUUGUUAUCAAUCUUUAACCUAUUAGUAUUAACAAGUAUUUUUGGGUAAGAAAGGAUGUUCAAGUUCAGAGCCUGAGAUCAAUCAUUCCAGUGCUUUUUGUCAGUGUCACCAUUGCUGUUGUUCAUCUUCAAGUUGCUUGAAAAGUUUGCACUCUCCUGACAAAAGAAUUGGCCCACUGGCACAUAAUUCAUUGGUAUAUUUCGAGGCAAGUCACCUUCGAGAAUCUACAAUUAUUUUCCCAUCUACUGCAUUUAUAAAUCCAUUAAAUAUUUGGGUUUUAUUUUUUAGAAAUGACACAGUGAAGAUAUAUAUAUAUAUAUAUAUAUAUAUAUAUAUAUAUAAUACAUUAAUUAUUAUGUUAAAUAAACAUAAUUUUAAGUUUAAGUGUCUGAAUAAAUAUAAAAAAAUAAUUACAACUUGACAAUCUCUGUUACACUUAAUAUGAUUAUAUAUAGUCGGAUAUAUACAUAUAUAACAUUUAUUUUACCCAGGAAAAAGGAAAAUAGUUUUCUCUAAAUCUAGUAAGCCUUUUCUUACAUGAAUAGACAACAUACAAAGAUAAAAGAGUGGGUGGGAGGAUCGAAGCCACAAGAUUAGGAUAACACUGAAACAAUUGUAAUUGAAGUCACAAUAGAUAAUUUGGUAAGGUAGAGGUUGGAUUCCAUUUAUGUUCUAUGUUAUUUCCCCUUCGUUUUUAUCUCACAUAAAAAACAUAAAUCUUUUCCUUCAUUCAACCCUUUUUGGUCUCCAAAAUUCAUAGGACCUUGUCACUACCUCAUGGGCCCCAAACAACACCUUUGGAGUGCUUGUCCUCACCUCAAAUCACAAAUGCCCUCCACACACUCAAUUCCUAUUUCUUCCUCGUAAUCCAUCUUAAGAAACUCAGCAGUAAUCACCAUAUUUAGUUUAAAUUAA